GAUGAACGCUGGCGGCGUGCCUAAUACAUGCAAGUCGAGCGAACAGACGAGGAGCUUGCUCCUCUGACGUUAGCGGCGGACGGGUGAGUAACACGUGGAUAACCUACCUAUAAGACUGGGAUAACUUCGGGAAACCGGAGCUAAUACCGGAUAAUAUAUUGAACCGCAUGGUUCAAUAGUGAAAGACGGUUUUGCUGUCACUUAUAGAUGGAUCCGCGCCGCAUUAGCUAGUUGGUAAGGUAACGGCUUACCAAGGCGACGAUGCGUAGCCGACCUGAGAGGGUGAUCGGCCACCCUGGAACUGAGACACGGUCCAGACUCCUACGGGAGGCAGCAGUAGGGAAUCUUCCGCAAUGGGCGAAAGCCUGACGGAGCAACGCCGCGUGAGUGAUGAAGGUCUUCGGAUCGUAAAACUCUGUUAUUAGGGAAGAACAAAUGUGUAAGUAACUAUGCACGUCUUGACGGUACCUAAUCAGAAAGCCCCGGCUAACUACGUG
rnacentral:rRNA from 1 species